rnacentral:rRNA from 1 species
AGCUCCAAUAGCGUAUACUAAAGUUGUUGCGGUUAAAAAGCUCGUAGUUGGAUCUUGGAAUGUGUUCAAGCGGGUCAGCUUCUGGCUGUGCGCUGCUUGACGUGUUCUUCUAUUUGGUUUUGGUGCGGUGCGCUUAACUGCGUGUCGCUCCCGGCCGAAACGUUUACCUUGAAAAAAUUAGAGUGUUCAAAGCAGACCUGUUUGAGUCUGAAUAUUCGUGCAUGGAAUAAUGAAAUAUGAAUUCGGUUCUAUUUUGUUGGUUUUCGGAACUCGAGUUAAUGAUCAAGAGGGACAGACGGGGGCAUUCGUACUCUGCCGUUAGAGGUGAAAUUCUUGGAUCGGCGGAAGACGCGCAACUGCGAAAGCAUUUGCCAAGAAUGUUUUCUUUAAUCAAGAACGA